GUCCCCUUCGUCUAGCCCGGUCCAGGACACCGCACUUUCACUGCGAUAACGCGGGUUCAAAUCCCGCAGGGGACGCCA
rnacentral:tRNA from 1 species